rnacentral:lncRNA from 1 species
AGAGAUGUUUAGGAAAGUAAUGAAAUUAAAUGAAUAGUUUAUUAUUAUAACGUUUAGGGUCGUUUGGAAAGAGCAAAGACAGAGUCCGGUUGCAUGUGGGGCUGCGUAAAGGCUCCCCUGGGGAGUUCAGGUGUACCCAAAGGCUUCCAUUGGGGGCACUUUUUGAUGGGAGAAAGUUUUCUGGGCUCCUAUUUUAAAUUCAUCUCAGUGUUCCAGUUAUGGUUAUGUUUAUUAUUAUUAUUCCCAAAAUACUUUAUUUUGAUUCUGCUUCCAUGACAAGGGCAGAGCAGGGAAAGCAAGCACAGAAAUGUGAACUUCUAGGGCCAAAUUAGUUGGUUUGCUAUCAGGUCUUCUGGGAGGGGCUGGCACUGGCUUGAGCCAGCAGGUGGAAGAGAUGGAGAAUCAAAGGAAAAAGGUGAAUGGCAUUGAAAUGAUGAGGCUCCACCAAUGCCACAUGCAGCCAAUUCUAUUUAGCAAGGACUGUGGUCAAGGUAGCAGGGGAAAGUAGAAGUUGUUCAGGAUAUUGAAAAGAGAGAGCUCACAGUGCCCCAUAAAGAAGGCCUCUCAAGCCCAGGAAGCUGAAGCCAGCCAGGGAAGGAAGCAUCAGCUGCCUUCAGAAGGAAGGAAUCAGAAGGGAGCAGCACCAGCCCAUGCAGCAUCACACCUUCGGGGGCUUGGAGAAAAACCGAGCAAUUUCUCCGUGCUGGGUGCAGCUCCUUGGACCAGCUUCUGCCCGGGCAGUAGGAAGGAGCAGGACCGAUACCGCUGGCUGCAGCCGCCUGCAUCCUCCUCGUGCCGCAGCCUUCCAGAGAAACCCCGGCCAUGCGCAAAGCCUCCCAGCCACGCCGCUCCCCCAGCUCCAAGCGUGGUACGCUGCGGGUGCCCCGCUCUGCACUCACCUGGCUCGUGAGCUAGGCACAACUCCCGGCUGGCAACUGCUUUACUGAACCCUUCAGCCAAAAACAAAACAAAAACAAAAAACUUGACAGGACAGAGGGCUAUGGAGACAGGGAAAUAAAAUAAAACAGCUGGUAAAUAGGUACUGUCA